AUGAUUUCUGGUUUAUUAUCCAGGCUUGUAUUUUCUGUGGAAGGGUUGAUGGCUUUGGUUUAUGAGAACCAAUUAACUCAUGACAGAUUCCUGGAAUGCUAUUCUUAUUCUCAUUCUCGUCUCUUCUCUUCCCCACCAUCCGUGUCUCUCUCAAUCUCUCUCACAUGUGCAUGUGCAUGCACACACACACACACGCACACACUCACACACAUACACACACUCGCACACAUACACACAUGCACGCACACACUCACACAUACACAUACACACACGCACACUCACACACAUACACACACUCACACACAUACACGCACACACUCACACACACUCACACACAUACACCCACAUACACACACUCACAUACACACACAUACACGCACACACACAUACACACACUCACACAUACACCACACAUACACGUACAUGCUCACACACACGCACACACUCACACACAUACACACACUCACAUACAUACACACACAUACACGUACAUGCUCACACACAUACACGCACACACUCACACACAUACACACACUCACAUACAUACACACACAUACACGUACAUGCUCACACACAUACACGCACACACUCACACACAUACACACACUCACAUACAUACACACACAUACACGUACAUGCUCACACACAUACACGCACACACUCACACACAUACACCACACUCACAUACAUACACACACAUACACACACAUACACGUACAUGCUCACACACAUACACACACACACUCACACACAUACACACACUCACAUACAUACACACACAUACACACACAUACACACACUCACACACAUACACGUACAUGCUCACACACAUACACACACUCACACAGACACAUACACACAUACAUGUACAUGCUCACACACAUACACGCACUCACACAUACACAUACACACACAUACACGUACAUGCUCACACACAUACACGCACACACUCACAUACACACACUCACACAUACACGCACACACUCACACACACGCACACUCACACACAUACACACAUACCCGCACACACAUACACACACAUACACACACAUACACACAUACACACAUACACACACACAUACAAACACACUCACACACACACAUACACUCACACAGUCACACACACACACACACACAUAUACACACACACGCCACAAAUUUUAUGUCUCUUCCCUAACAAUUGGAACAUUGUGGACUAGAAAAUGGGCAUCUGAAGCAGGAACAUAG
rnacentral:lncRNA from 1 species